CUCUUAAAGCUACUUUAGCACUCAAAAUGAAAACUUGAGGUUCUUAUUCUUUGUAUUUUACGCAUUAGGAAACUGAAUUAUGAAGAGAGUGUAAUUUACCCAACAAAACACAGGCAUGGAUUUUGGAUUAAAGUGCCUUUUGAUUUUUCUUCAAAUUAAACUACAUGAAGGAUGAAUCCUGUUUUGUCUGUUUACUUGAUAUUUACCCAAGUCUGCCAUCAACAAGAAAACACAUCUCAGCAUCUCACUUGGCAAGAGGAAGAAUUGAGGCAGCAGAGCAGCUGUCAUAUUUAUUUCAGUGGCAAAGCAGGUCAGGAAAAUUGAUAAAAUUAAUCAUACAAACUAGCAAACAUCAGGAGUGAGAACGUGAAGGAACAGAUGAGUUCUUCCUUCAUUCCAGGCUGCACCUGCCCUUAGUUCUAAUGGAAUCUGUGCAAUCAGCUGAUGAAAGCAAGGAAGGAGAGAGUUGUGGCAAUGGAAAUAAAGGCCUGAAGAGAAAUGGGAACAUGAGCAAUUAUUGGGACAGGUCUUAGUCUGUGGACCUGUGGUGUCUGCGAAACUAUAUUAAAUUGUCUGAGGCUGUGGGAAAUCCAUCUUUAGGUGUUCCAUGAAGAGAAUAAGUUCAGGACCUAAUAUUGGCUUGGAUCUAUGGCAGGUGAUCCUAACUUAUUUGGGCAGCAUUUCUUUCCUGUUGUAAGAGGAAGCAUGGCCAUUACUGCAGUAGUUUUUGACUCCGGAUAUGCUUCAGUGUCACCUAGAGAGUUUUUAAAAUACUGAUGACCCCCACUCAACCCCAGAUGAAUUGAAUCAUGGCCCAGGC
ensembl:lincRNA